rnacentral:rRNA from 1 species
GACGAACGCUGGCGGCGUGCUUAACACAUGCAAGUCGAACGGAAAGGCCUCUUUCGGGGGGUACUUGAGUGGCGAACGGGUGAGUAACACGUGAGUAACCUGCCCUUGACUUUGGGAUAACUUCAGGAAACUGGGGCUAAUACCGGAUAGGAGCUCCUGCUGCAUGGUGGGGGUUGGAAAGUUUCGGCGGUUGGGGAUGGACUCGCGGCUUAUCAGCUUGUUGGUGGGGUAGUGGCUUACCAAGGCUUUGACGGGUAGCCGGCCUGAGAGGGUGACCGGCCACAUUGGGACUGAGAUACGGCCCAGACUCCUACGGGAGGCAGCAGUGGGGAAUAUUGCACAAUGGGUGGAAGCCUGAUGCAGCAACGCCGGGGGCGGGAGGACGGCCUUCGGGUUGGAAACCGCUUUCGCUCAUGACGAAGCUUUGUGUGACGGUAGUGGGUAAAGAAGCACCGGCUAACUACGUG